UACGAAGGUGGCGAGCGUUGUUCGGAAUCACUGGGCAUAAAGCGCACGUAGGCGGCGACGUAAGUUGGGUGUGAAAUCCCUCGGCCCAACCGAGGAACUGCGCCCAGUACUGCGUUGCUUGAGGAUCCAAGGGGUGCAUGGAAUUCCCGGUGGAGCGGUGAAAUGCGUUGAUAUCGGGAGGAACUCCGGCGGCGAAAGCGGUGCACUGGUGGAUUACUGACGCUGAGGUGCGAAAGCCAGGGGAGCAAACGGG
rnacentral:rRNA from 1 species